ensembl:lncRNA KLF3-AS1 KLF3 antisense RNA 1
ACCUUUCUCCAAACAACGUUGCCACACGCGGAGAGCACGGAGAUUUCUGGGGCUUUGGAGGGAAUCGUGAGCGGGCGGGAGGAGGCCGGGGACCACACAGAGAAUAACUUGUCUGACUACCAGUAUUCUUGGAUGCAGAAGUGCUGAAGAUGAGCACACACACGUACGGAGAAUUUCUGGAGAAUUCAGCUGCUCAGAACAAGAACUGAGAUCCAGAGAGAUGAUGACUUUGCCCAUAGACCAAACAAAGAAAUACAUGUUUCAGUCCUGUGUCCUCCUGCUAUGUGUGUCCGGAAUUGGUGGGUUCUUGGUCUCACUGACUUCAAGAAUGAAGCUGCGGACCCUCGCGGACCGUGUGUGAAUGCCUGCUCUGUGAGCCCUCAGAAUCUACUGGCUGAAUGAGUGCGUGGAGGAAAUGUGCUCAGAGCUGCUGUGUGUCAUCCUGUGUUUGAAGUGCUCCUGCAGCUAUCAUUCAUCCAGUUAAGAAUUUGAAGAAGUGUGUGCACAAAGACGGAGUCUCACUCUGUUGCCCAGGCUGGAGUGCAGUGGCACAAUCUCGGCUCACUGCAACCUCUACCUCCUGGAUUCAAGCGGUUUUCCUGCCUCAGCCUCCAGAGUAACAGGGAUUACAGGCAUACUCCACCUUGCCCUGCUGAUUUUGUAUUUUUAGUAGAGACAAGAGUUUCACCAUGUUGGCCAGGCUGGUCUUGAACUCCUGACCUCAAGUGAUCCACUGCCUCAGCCUCCCAAAGUGCUGGGAUUAUAGGCGUGAGCCACUGCGCCUGGCCAAAUGCUCUACUUUUUAAUCAAUGUUUUCCAAAAUAGGGAUUUUUGCUAUGUGCUUUAGAAAUUAGAGAACAAACGGUGAUAAUAUAUGCUAAACUUAAAAUUAGUAUGCCUCCUUUUAUAGACAACAAGAACUUUGUCACUUCCCAGUUUGUCUUGUCAUUCAGGAGGCUCAGAGCUACGAUCUGUGCCCACUCGUGCUGCCUCUUCUUAACUUUGAUUUCCUGAAGCAGCGAUUUCAUCUCCGUUUCCCCUCAUCACCUGUUCUUUUAACUGUUUAAAAACAGCAUUACAUGUUGUUGCAAGUGGCCUCAAAUUCUUUUUGGUAGAAGGGAAAUUGUAAUCCAUGAGAAGAAAAAAAUUUUCCUAACUAUUCUCAGGUGUGUUUAAGGGCUGCAUUCCAUGAUGCUAUCAGUGCCUUCUUUCAGCUCACAGGAUAUCGGCCAUGUUAAUGAGUCUGAUGUUGCUAGUAUCACAGGCACCGGAAAAUAUGCACAUUAUGCUGGAGCAUUAGAAUGCAACAGAAAGAGCCCUGGGCUUGGAGUAUGCAGAACUGGUUCUUGUUACAACUCCUCUUACUAGUGGGCUGCUAUGGACCUAAAGUGGAGGGCUUUGAAAUUUCCUGCUUAAUUGGGCUGCAUGUCAUUGCUGUCCUUAGAAGUUGCUCUGGGAUGCAGGUGCUGGUUUCUUGGAUCUCCUUUGCUGGAAUUUUGCAUGUCUUGUUUUGUUGUUGUACCAGCUUUGUGGAUCAGCCAACAUCCUUGGCUUGCCCUGUGGGGAGUGGGGUGGGACACAUCUUGGAUUGCUCUAUUCCAGGGAUGUCCAACAUUUUGGCUUCCCUAGGCCACAUUGGAAGAAGAAGAAUUGUAUUGGGCUACACAUAAAAUACACUAUCACUAAAAUAGCUGAUGAGCUAAAAAAAAAAAUCGCAAAAAAAAUCUCAUAAUGUUUUAAGAAAGUUGAUGAAGUUGUAUUGGGCCACAUUCAAAGCUUUCCUGGGCCACAUGCAGGCUGAGGGCUGUGGAUUGAAUAAACUUGCUCUAUUCCCUUUGCAGUAGA